rnacentral:rRNA from 1 species
CUUGCUCUUAUGAAGUUAGCGGCGGACGGGUGAGUAACACGUGGGUAACCUACCCAUAAGACUGGGAUAACUCCGGGAAACCGGGGCUAAUACCGGAUAAUAUUUUGAACUGCAUAGUUCGAAAUUGAAAGGCGGCUUCGGCUGUCACUUAUGGAUGGACCCGCGUCGCAUUAGCUAGUUGGUGAGGUAACGGCUCACCAAGGCGACGAUGCGUAGCCGACCUGAGAGGGUGAUCGGCCACACUGGGACUGAGACACGGCCCAGACUCCUACGGGAGGCAGCAGUAGGGAAUCUUCCGCAAUGGACGAAAGUCUGACGGAGCAACGCCGCGUGAGUGAUGAAGGCUUUCGGGUCGUAAAACUCUGUUGUUAGGGAAGAACAAGUGCUAGUUGAAUAAGCUGGCACCUUGGCGGUACCUAACCAGAAAGCCACGGCUAACUACGUGCCAGCAGCCGCGGUAAUACGUAGGUGGCAAGCGUUAUCCGGAAUUAUUGGGCGUAAAGCGCGCGCAGGUGGUUUCUUAAGUCUGAUGUGAAAGCCCACGGCUCAACCGUGGAGGGUCAUUGGAAACUGGGAGACUUGAGUGCAGAAGAGGAAAGUGGAAUUCCAUGUGUAGCGGUGA